rnacentral:rRNA from 1 species
AAGCGGCAACAGCUCAAAUUUGAAAUCUGACCCUUUGGGGUCCGAGUUGUAAUUUGCAGAGGGUGUUUCGGGCACGGUGCCGGUUUAAGUCCUUUGGAACAGGGCGUCAGAGAGGGUGAGAACCCCGUAUGUGACCGGUCGCCAAACCCAUGUGAAACCCCUUCGACGAGUCGAGUUGUUUGGGAAUGCAGCUCAAAAUGGGUGGUAAAUUUCAUCUAAAGCUAAAUAUUGGCCAGAGACCGAUAGCGCACAAGUAGAGUGAUCGAAAGAUGAAAAGCACUUUGGAAAGAGAGUCAAACAGCACGUGAAAUUGUUGAAAGGGAAGCGCUUGCGACCAGACCUGCUCGCGGGUGAUCAGCGGUGCUUUUCGCGCCGUGCACUCAUCCGCGAUCAGGCCAGCAUCGGUUCAGGCGGCCGGAUAAAGACUCGGAGAAUGUAGCUCCCUCCGGGGAGUGUUAUAGCUCCUUGUGCAAUACGGCCAGCCGGGACCGAGGACCGCGCUUCGGCUAGGAUGCUGGCGUAAUGGUCGUAAGCGACCCGUCUUGAAACACGGACCAAGGAGUCUAACAUCUGUGCGAGUGUUUGGGCGUCAAACCCAUGCGCGCAAUGAAAGUGAACGUGAGGUGGGAACCCUUUCGGGGGCGCACCAUCGACCGAUCCAGAUGUCUUCGGAUGGAUUUGAGUAAGAGCACAGCUGUUGGGACCCGAAAGAUGGUGAACUAUGCCUGAAUAGGGUGAAGCCAGAGGAAACUCUGGUGGAGGCUCGCAGCGGUUCUGACGUGCAAAUCGAUCGUCAAAUUUGGGUAUAGGGGCGAAAGACUAAUCGA